GUCUACGACCAUGCUGCCCUGAAUAAGCCCAAUCCUGUCUGAUCUCGGAAGCUAAGCAGGGUCAGGCCUGGUUAGUACAUGGAUGGGAGACCACCUAGGGAGACCUGAUGCUGUAGGUG
rfam:Pteropus alecto contig48796, whole genome shotgun sequence.